GUCUCUUUGUUACUUAUAGAUAGAGAGUCGGGCCUGCUCGGUGAAUAAUUGUUUUAACAGCUGCGGUAUUUUAACUGUACUAAGGUAGCAUAAUAAUUUGCCUUAUAAUUUGAGGCUAGAAUGAAUGGUUUGACGAAGGUUGAUCUGUCUCUAUCCUAUUAUUUAGAAAUUAAUUUUUAGAGUGAAAAAGCUUGUAUUUUUUAAAGGGACGAGAAGACCCUAUUGAGCUUAUAAUUUUAUCACUGUUAUUAUUGUAAUGAUUAUAGUGGUGUAUAAAUUUUAAUUGGGGUGAUUAAGGAAUAAAUAAUAAAUAAAGUAACUUCCUUAAAAUUAAAUAUUGUUGGGUGAAGUAACCAAUAUUAUUGCUUAUAUUAUAGUUACCAUAGGGAUAACAGCGUAAUUUAUUUAGAGAGUUCUUAUUGAAAAAUGAGAUUGCGACCUCGAUGUUGGAUUAAAGUAACCUUAAGGUGCAGAAGCUUUAAUAGGUAAAUCUGUUCGAUUUUUAAAACUUUACA
rnacentral:rRNA from 1 species